AGAUUAAGUUAUUAAGGGCGCACGGUGGAUGCCUUGGCACUAGAAGCCGAUGAAGGACGUUACUAACGACGAUAUGCUUUGGGGAGCUGUAAGUAAGCUUUGAUCCAGAGAUUUCCGAAUGGGGAAACCCAGCAUGAGUUAUGUCAUGUUAUCGAUAUGUGAAUACAUAGCAUAUCAGAAGGCACACCCGGAGAACUGAAACAUCUUAGUACCCGGAGGAAGAGAAAGAAAAUUCGAUUCCCUUAGUAGCGGCGAGCGAAACGGGAAGAGCCCAAACCAACAAGCUUGCUUGUUGGGGUUGUAGGACACUCUAUACGGAGUUACAAAGGACGACAUUAGACGAAUCAUCUGGAAAGAUGAAUCAAAGAAGGUAAUAAUCCUGUAGUCGAAAAUGUUGUCUCUCUUGAGUGGAUCCUGAGUACGACGGAGCACGUGAAAUUCCGUCGGAAUCUGGGAGGACCAUCUCCUAAGGCUAAAUACUCUCUAGUGACCGAUAGUGAACCAGUACCGUGAGGGAAAGGUGAAAAGCACCCCGGAAGGGGAGUGAAAUAGAACCUGAAACCGUGUGCUUACAAGUAGUCAGAGCCCGUUAAUGGGUGAUGGCGUGCCUUUUGUAGAAUGAACCGGCGAGUUACGAUUUGAUGCAAGGUUAAGCAGUAAAUGUGGAGCCGUAGCGAAAGCGAGUCUGAAUAGGGCGUUUAGUAUUUGGUCGUAGACCCGAAACCAGGUGAUCUACCCUUGGUCAGGUUGAAGUUCAGGUAACACUGAAUGGAGGACCGAACCGACUUACGUUGAAAAGUGAGCGGAUGAACUGAGGGUAGCGGAGAAAUUCCAAUCGAACCUGGAGAUAGCUGGUUCUCUCCGAAAUAGCUUUAGGGCUAGCCUCAAGUGAUGAUUAUUGGAGGUAGAGCACUGUUUGGACGAGGGGCCCCUCUCGGGUUACCGAAUUCAGACAAACUCCGAAUGCCAAUUAAUUUAACUUGGGAGUCAGAACAUGGGUGAUAAGGUCCGUGUUCGAAAGGGAAACAGCCCAGACCACCAGCUAAGGUCCCAAAAUAUAUGUUAAGUGGAAAAGGAUGUGGCGUUGCCCAGACAACUAGGAUGUUGGCUUAGAAGCAGCCAUCAUUUAAAGAGUGCGUAAUAGCUCACUAGUCGAGUGACACUGCGCCGAAAAUGUACCGGGGCUAAACAUAUUACCGAAGCUGUGGAUUGUCCUUUGGACAAUGGUAGGAGAGCGUUCUAAGGGCGUUGAAGCAUGAUCGUAAGGACAUGUGGAGCGCUUAGAAGUGAGAAUGCCGGUGUGAGUAGCGAAAGACGGGUGAGAAUCCCGUCCACCGAUUGACUAAGGUUUCCAGAGGAAGGCUCGUCCGCUCUGGGUUAGUCGGGUCCUAAGCUGAGGCCGACAGGCGUAGGCGAUGGAUAACAGGUUGAUAUUCCUGUACCACCUAUAAUCGUUUUAAUCGAUGGGGGGACGCAGUAGGAUAGGCGAAGCGUGCGAUUGGAUUGCACGUCUAAGCAGUAAGGCUGAGUAUUAGGCAAAUCCGGUACUCGUUAAGGCUGAGCUGUGAUGGGGAGAAGACAUUGAGUCUUCGAGUCGUUGAUUUCACACUGCCGAGAAAAGCCUCUAGAUAGAAAAUAGGUGCCCGUACCGCAAACCGACACAGGUAGUCAAGAUGAGAAUUCUAAGGUGAGCGAGCGAACUCUCGUUAAGGAACUCGGCAAAAUGACCCCGUAACUUCGGGAGAAGGGGUGCUCUUUAGGGUUAACGCCCAGAAGAGCCGCAGUGAAUAGGCCCAAGCGACUGUUUAUCAAAAACACAGGUCUCUGCUAAACCGUAAGGUGAUGUAUAGGGGCUGACGCCUGCCCGGUGCUGGAAGGUUAAGAGGAGUGGUUAGCUUCUGCGAAGCUACGAAUCGAAGCCCCAGUAAACGGCGGCCGUAACUAUAACGGUCCUAAGGUAGCGAAAUUCCUUGUCGGGUAAGUUCCGACCCGCACGAAAGGCGUAACGAUUUGGGCACUGUCUCAACGAGAGACUCGGUGAAAUC
rnacentral:rRNA from 1 species